rnacentral:rRNA from 1 species
CUCCUACGGGAGGCAGCAGUGGGGAAUAUUGGACAAUGGGGGCAACCCUGAUCCAGCCAUGCCGCGUGGGUGAAGAAGGCCUUCGGGUUGUAAAGCCCUUUUGUGCGGGAAGAAAAGUCGUCGGUGAACAUCCGGCGAUGCUGACGGUACCGCAAGAAUAAGCACCGGCUAACUUCGUGCCAGCAGCCGCGGUAAUACGAAGGGUGCAAGCGUUACUCGGAAUUACUGGGCGUAAAGCGUGCGUAGGUGGUGAGUUAAGUCUGAUGUGAAAUCCCCGGGCUCAACCUGGGAAUGGCAUUGGAUACUGGCUCGCUGGAGUGCGGUAGAGGGUGGUGGAAUUCCCGGUGUAGCAGUGAAAUGCGUAGAGAUCGGGAGGAACAUCUGUGGCGAAGGCGGCCACCUGGACCAGCACUGACACUGAGGCACGAAAGCGUGGGGAGCAAACAGGAUUAGAUACCCUGGUAGUCCACGCCCUAAACGAUGCGAACUGGAUGUUGGUGGGAACUUGCCCAUCAGUAUCGAAGCUAACGCGUUAAGUUCGCCGCCUGGGGAGUACGGUCGCAAGACUGAAACUCAAAGGAAUUGACGGGGGCCCGCACAAGCGGUGGAGUAUGUGGUUUAAUUCGAUGCAACGCGCAGAACC